rnacentral:rRNA from 1 species
UACGUAGGGUGCGAGCGUUAAUCGGAAUUACUGGGCGUAAAGCGUGCGCAGGCGGUUUUGUAAGCCAGAUGUGAAAUCCCCGGGCUUAACCUGGGAAUGGCAUUUGGGACUGCAAGGCUGGAGUGUGGCAGAGGAGACUGGAAUUCCUGGUGUAGCAGUGAAAUGCGUAGAUAUCAGGAGGAAUACCGAUGGCGAAGGCAGCCCCCUGGGUCAAGAUUGACGCUCAUGCACGAAAGCGUGGGGAGCAAACAGG